CCACAUGUUAAGGACAGGUCUGUGCACAUGCUGGUCAAUGACACUGAGCACAAGAACUACAGACCAGCUGAGCAUUUGGAACUUGACUGUGGGGGCAGAAAUAGCAAUUUGUGUUCUUUAUGCCUGAGCUACAUAGUUAAUGUCUUCCCGUGGCCACAGGCUGGACCCCCUGGAGCUGCCAGCCUGGGAAAAGUUCAAGGAAAUCAGGUUCCCAGAAUGUCUCUGGGUUUCCUGGUAGCAGAAUGUCUGGGGGACACGUCUGCUCCACUGUUUCUCUAAUUAUAGCAAGACAUCUUUCAACUCCCCCUGCUCACUGUUCUUCCCAUGCAAACUCCAGGUGGCAUUUCCUGUCCUCACAACUCUUGCUUCAAAUGCAGGCAGCUGCGAAUCCCUGCCCUCUACACUGUUCUGCAGAGCUGACAAAGGGGAUGCCAGUGGACCUUCUCACCACUUUGUUUUCUGAGUUCCCCACUCCCCCAGCCUGCGCGUGAAUGCAUCUGCCUGUAGGAGGGAGCUCUCCAAAAUGCAAACCACAUGUGCCUGAAGCAAGACAGCUCCUCGUAUUCUAUUAUACAAAAACUAGCAAAAUCCAAAAAUACAAUCAAAUCAGGUGACUGAAAAUAUAUAUGGAUCAUAACGUACCCCUCAGGGACACAACCAUUCAGAAGUCCCAGAGUCUCAAGUCUGAUUUUCUGAACUGCCUCUCUGAAUGAUCACUCUCUUGGGUUCAGAUCGCCCCCAGGCAGGCUGGAGGCCAUGGGCCCUGCUCAGGUGAGGCUGCUUAGUGGAGCAGGUUCUUAAUAAGGCAGGUGUCAGUCGAGAGAGAAAAUAUCAUUAGUGAUUGUUUGUGAAGGAGGAAACGCUCACGGAGUGGCUGGGAAGGCAAGUGACUGCCUUAGCGGUCUAUGAUCAAAAUAUAGAGUCCUCAUAUCCACAGCGGGGCGGAUCCCAUCUCUGUGUUGGAAAGCAACGACCUCAGGACGACAAAGCCAUCCUGUUACUAAGACUCCAGACCACUUAACAGAGGUUAAAUGACUCUGUAAAUGGAAUGGAAUUUAUGGAUCACCUGAAGCCCACUAUAAUGCACUUUCAAGGAACGAGGGAGAAAGGGAUACAUGGACAAGCAGAUACAGAUGUUCUUCUCGACUAAGAGUCAAAUUCGGAGUCAGAAGACCGGGUUGUGAAUUCUGCCUCCUCUGCAUAUUAACAGUGGGAUCUGAAUCAACUGACUUCACCUCUGAUUCUUGGUAUCUCUAAAUGCUAAGGAACAGCAGUGAUGUCCUGAUGGUGAUGGUGACAGUAAGGGCAUCUACCUCACAAACUUGUUGAGAAGACUGGAUGAGCUAUUAUGUGGUAACAGUUACAAUGUUGAAAUUAAAAAGCCCCCCCCCUUAUGAUUGGGGGGAACCAAA